UACGAAGGGGGCUAGCGUUUUUCGGAAUUACUGGGCGUAAAGCGCACGUAGGCGGAUUGUUAAGUCAGGGGUGAAAUCCCGGGGCUCAACCUCGGAACUGCCUUUGAUACUGGCAAUCUCGAGUCCGGAAGAGGUGGGUGGAAUUCCUAGUGUGGAGGUGAAAUUCGUAGAUAUUAGGAAGAACACCAGUGGCGAAGGCGGCCCACUGGUCCGGUACUGACGCUGAGGUGCGAAAGCGUGGGGAGCAAACAGG
rnacentral:rRNA from 1 species